rnacentral:rRNA from 1 species
GUUGGUGCAUGCUGACAGCCUGGCACAACUCUAGAGAUGCCCUUCGGGGUGGAUUACCGGCGAACGGGUGAGUAACACGUGGGCAAUCUGCCCUUCACUCUGGGACAAGCCCUGGAAACGGGGUCUAAUACCGGAUAUCACUCUCGCAGGCAUCUGUGAGGGUCGAAAGCUCCGGCGGUGAAGGAUGAGCCCGCGGCCUAUCAGCUUGUUGGUGAGGUAAUGGCUCACCAAGGCGACGACGGGUAGCCGGCCUGAGAGGGCGACCGGCCACACUGGGACUGAGACACGGCCCAGACUCCUACGGGAGGCAGCAGUGGGGAAUAUUGCACAAUGGGCGAAAGCCUGAUGCAGCGACGCCGCGUGAGGGAUGACGGCCUUCGGGUUGUAAACCUCUUUCAGCAGGGAAGAAGCGAAAGUGACGGUACCUGCAGAAGAAGCGCCGGCUAACUACGUGCCAGCAGCCGCGGUAAUACGUAGGGCGCAAGCGUUGUCCGGAAUUAUUGGGCGUAAAGAGCUCGUAGGCGGCUUGUCACGUCGGGUGUGAAAGCCCGGGGCUUAACCCCGGGUCUGCAUUCGAUACGGGCUAGCUAGAGUGUGGUAGGGGAGAUCGGAAUUCCUGGUGUAGCGGUGAAAUGCGCAGAUAUCAGGAGGAACACCGGUGGCGAAGGCGGAUCUCUGGGCCAUUACUGACGCUGAGGAGCGAAAGCGUGGGGAGCGAACAGGAUUAGAUACCCUGGUAGUCCACGCCGUAAACGGUGGGAACUAGGUGUUGGCGACAUUCCACGUCGUCGGUGCCGCAGCUAACGCAUUAAGUUCCCCGCCUGGGGAGUACGGGCGCAAGGCUAAAACUCAAAGGAAUUGACGGGGGCCGCACAAGCAGCGGAGCAUGUGGCUUAAUUCGACGCAACGCGAGACCUUACCAAGGCUUGACAUACACCGGAAACGUCUGAGACAGGCGCCCCUGUGUCGUGUACAGUGUGCAUGCUGUCGUCAGCUCGUGUCGUGAGAUGUGGUAGUCGCACGAGCGCACCUGUCUGGGUGCAGCAUGCCUCGGGGUGAUGGGGACUCACAGGAGAUCGUCGGGGU